rnacentral:rRNA from 1 species
AGACGGAGGGUGCAAGCGUUGUUCGGAAUCACUGGGCGUAAAGCGCGUGUAGGCGGUUCGAUUAGUCGAGUGUGAAAGCCCGAGGCUCAACUUCGGAAGCGCAUUCGAAACUGUCGGGCUUGAGUACGGGAGAGGGAAGUGGAAUUCCUGGUGUAGAGGUGAAAUUCGUAGAUAUCAGGAGGAACACCGGUGGCGAAGGCGGCUUCCUGGACCGAUACUGACGCUGAGGCGCGAAGGUGUGGGUAGC